UACGAAGGGUGCAAACGUUGCUCGGAAUCAUUGGGCGUAAAGCGCACGUAGGCGGCUUCGCAAGUCGGAUGUGAAAUCCCUAGGCUCAACCAAGGACGUGCAUCCGAAACUGCAAGGCUUGAGUACAGAAGAGGAUCGCGGAAUUCCCGGUGUAGAGGUGAAAUUCGUAGAUAUCGGGAGGAACACCAGUGGCGAAGGCGGCGAUCUGGGCUGAUACUGACGCUGAGGUGCGAAAGCGUGGGGAGCAAACAGG
rnacentral:rRNA from 1 species